UACGUAGGGGGCAAGCGUUGUCCGGAAUCACUGGGCGUAAAGCGCACGUAGGCGGACUCUUAAGUCGGUGGUGAAAUCCUGGAGCUCAACUCCAGAACUGCCUUCGAUACUGAGAGUCUUGAGUCCGGGAGAGGUGAGUGGAACUGCGAGUGUAGAGGUGAAAUUCGUAGAUAUUCGCAAGAACACCAGUGGCGAAGGCGGCUCACUGGCCCGGUACUGACGCUGAGGUGCGAAAGCGUGGGGAGCAAACAGG
rnacentral:rRNA from 1 species